rnacentral:rRNA from 1 species
CAGGAAGCAGCUUGCUGCUUUGCUGACGAGUGGCGGACGGGUGAGUAAUGUCUGGGAAACUGCCUGAUGGAGGGGGAUAACUACUGGAAACGGUGGCUAAUACCGCAUAACGUCGCAAGACCAAAGAGGGGGACCUUCGGGCCUCUUGCCAUCAGAUGUGCCCAGAUGGGAUUAGCUUGUUGGUGAGGUAACGGCUCACCAAGGCGACGAUCCCUAGCUGGUCUGAGAGGAUGACCAGCCACACUGGAACUGAGACACGGUCCAGACUCCUACGGGAGGCAGCAGUGGGGAAUAUUGCACAAUGGGCGCAAGCCUGAUGCAGCCAUGCCGCGUGUAUGAAGAAGGCCUUCGGGUUGUAAAGUACUUUCAGCGGGGAGGAAGGUGUUGUGGUUAAUAACCGCAGCAAUUGACGUUACCCGCAGAAGAAGCACCGGCUAACUCCGUGCCAGCAGCCGCGGUAAUACGGAGGGUGCAAGCGUUAAUCGGAAUUACUGGGCGUAAAGCGCACGCAGGCGGUCUGUCAAGUCGGAUGUGAAAUCCCCGGGCUCAACCUGGGAACUGCAUUCGAAACUGGCAGGCUUGAGUCUUGUAGAGGGGGGUAGAAUUCCAGGUGUAGCGGUGAAAUGCGUAGAGAUCUGGAGGAAUACCGGUGGCGAAGGCGGCCCCCUGGACAAAGACUGACGCUCAGGUGCGAAAGCGUGGGGAGCAAACAGGAUUAGAUAC